rnacentral:lncRNA from 1 species
AAAAAAAUUAAAAAAAUUAAAAAAGAAUCAAUUGCAGAUUGCCACAUUUCAGUAGGGCCUGCAAACAGUACAAAAAUCCAACUACAAACGCCUCUUAUUUGGCUACCUUCUUCCUCGGUUCCUCCGUUUUUGUGAUCCCCUAAAAACACUCCUAAAUACCCCGUUAAUGUUGCUCUUAUGAUUGUCACUUUCGUCACUGCUAGUGGUAGUCCAUAUAUGUACAGACAAACACAUAUGUACCAUAUACGAAUUUUAAAAUGAG